CAUUAAUAGUGACAGUAACAUUUAUGCUGGUAAUAGCCAGUGCUGUGAUUUGAUCAGUGGUUUAAUGGUAAACUUAAAUAAGUUUGCUGCAUUUGUAAAUGUAGCCUAUAAUAAUCUACACAGAAUCAGAGUACACAAAAUCAGACUCUGAUUCUGUGUAGAUUAUUAGGCUA